AUUGAACGCUGGCGGCAGGCUUAACACAUGCAAGUCGAGCGGUAGCACAGGGGAGCUUGCUCCCUGGGUGACGAGCGGCGGACGGGUGUGUAAUGUCUGGGAAACUGCCUGAUGGAGGGGGAUAACUACUGGAAACGGUAGCUAAUACCGCAUAACGUCGCAAGACCAAAGAGGGGGACCUUCGGGCCUCUUGCCAUCAGAUGUGCCCAGAUGGGAUUAGCUAGUAGGUGGGGUAAUGGCUCACCUAGGCGACGAUCCCUAGCUGGUCUGAGAGGAUGACCAGCCACACUGGAACUGAGACACGGUCCAGACUCCUACGGGAGGCAGCAGUGGGGAAUAUUGCACAAUGGGCGCAAGCCUGAUGCAGCCAUGCCGCGUGUGUGAAGAAGGCCUUCGGGUUGUAAAGCACUUUCAGCGAGGAGGAAGGUGGUGAGCUUAAUACGUUCAUCAAUUGACGUUACUCGCAGAAGAAGCACCGGCUAACUCCGUG
rnacentral:rRNA from 1 species